rnacentral:rRNA from 1 species
UACGAAGGGGGCUAGCGUUGUUCGGAUUUACUGGGCGUAAAGCGCACGUAGGCGGAUCGUUAAGUCGGGGGUGAAAUCCUGGAGCUCAACUCCAGAACUGCCUUCGAUACUGGCGAUCUUGAGUCCGGAAGAGGUGAGUGGAACUCCUAGUGUAGAGGUGGAAUUCGUAGAUAUUAGGAAGAACACCAGUGGCGAAGGCGGCUCACUGGUCCGGUACUGACGCUGAGACGCGAAAGCGUGGGGAGCGAACGAGG